GUUUAACAUAUAUAUUCAAAACAUCACACACUCUUUUUAAGCUGUAUGUGAACAGACACGAAAAAGUGACGUUGACGUUGAUGUCUUGCCUUUGUAUUCUGUUUCACAAAAAAGACCUGAUAACGCACGAUGCCAACAGCAAUGCAAGUGAUGGACCAUCAUAUGCCCCUGAUGCUGUACCCCGCCGUAGAGAUGUGCUCGUCAAAUUGUAUUUAUUAAAUUUAUGUAUUACACACCCGACAGCUGAGUGCUAAACUUGAAAAUGCAAUUUUCACUUUAUGGCUUAUUGGACCAAAAAAUGCAAAGCAACAAAAACAAAACAAAAAAAAUAAAUAUAACAUAUCCAAUAUAACAUAUCCAUUGCAGAUGAGCUGCGAAAUUUUCGUUAAAACCAACGCUAAAAUGGAAUUUAACAGUUAAAGCAAUUUUUGUAAACAAAAACUGUUUAGUUUCUUUAUUACUUACAGCCUUUGCUACAUCUGUAAUUUUACUGAGCACAACAUUUUUGAUUUCAAGUAAAUUGCAAACAA